UGAAAUUGUGUUGCCAGAUAGUCCAUUUGU
rnacentral:piRNA from 1 species